rnacentral:pre_miRNA from 1 species
CCCUUAACUAUCAAAAGUUUCGUUUUGGUCAUUUAACUUACUUUUUGGUUUCAUUUUGGUCCCUUAACUCUUCCUCCGUCAACCACUUUGGUCCUUUAUGUUAGGAUGAAUGUAUUAGAGUUAAGGGACCAAAAUGAAACCAAAAAAUAAGUUAAGGGACCAAAACGAAACUAAAAAAUAAGUUAAGGGACCAAAACAAAACUUUUAAUAGUUAAGGGACCAAAAGAAAACCCAAAAAUAAGUUAUGGGACCGAAACGAAACUUUUAAUAGUUAAGGAA